CCGGCGUGGUUUAGCUUGCUUUAUGUAGCGCAGAGGGUUUCAGAUUGCUUUCUAUGAUGUGAUGGUGAUUGCUUUCUAUUGACUCAUUGGAGCAAAAUGAUUCCAUCCAUCAGCUAAGAGAAAAAGGGUUCAAUUCAUCAUCUGAGGUAAAUCAUUUCCUAAAUUAAGUUCUCCAUAUUAGAAUUCUUGUACUCUUAACACAAUUGGCAAAAUAAGUUCCGACUCCGCUGUUAUUCUUAACUGGCAUCCUAACUUUUGACCAUGUACAUGUGCAUCUUCCUUUUAUGAUGAUAUAAAGAUGUUUUUAAUUUUCUCAUAUCAUAGGUAUAAUAAUUCAGAGUAUUUACAUGAUUACAGGACCCCCAUAUAUUCUUAAUUAUGAAUGCAGUAGUUAUAUAUUCUUUAUCUAUUAUAGAUGAAUUCAAGAAGCUAUUAUCACCGUUUGCGAUCUCAUCAUUUUCCAUGAUCAGUCAAUAGCUAAUCGUAUUUAUUUCUUCAUUUCUUCUUUUGGGUCGGCAGGUAAGCUAAUUAGGCUAUUUUCCCUGUUAUCUAUUUCAGCAACUGGAUUCUUUAAAGGAUUUCAACAGAGUUCAUUGUGGGAACCUGAACCCUACUACCAUGUCUCCACUUUCAUGCAGUGGGCUUGACUGGAUCAUAAAGUUUUCUCGCCGAAGAUUCCCUACGCCACCAGCUACUACCCUGAUCCUCUCCCACCAUGGCACAACAAGGCACAUCUUCCUCUCAUGUGAAAGUAACUGAAGGCCAUCCCACCUGACAUCCAUGGAGCUAAUUUCCAUUUCGGAAUUAAGUGUGAGUUCUCUACGGGCAACAAAAUCUAUCAUCUAUCUCUUGUGCUAAUUUCCAUUUCAAAACAUGCAUCAAAGAUUUCAACUUGCUCUCCUGUGGUAUAUAGUUUUGUGUUUAACAACUUGACUACCUAUCAUCUAUCUCCCACGACAACUUAAUGUGAACUUUAUUACCGCUGGAUAUGCGAAAGUGAUACAUAUAUGUGAUGAUUUCAGAGAUAUUAAAUUUUUCCAUAUAUGGCUCCUGUGGUCAAUAUAUGCUUUUUCUAUAUUUUUUAAAAAAAAUCAGCUGCAUGAAAGUGAUGCAUAUAUGUGAUGAUUCCUGACCUAACUUUGUGCUAGGAUGAUUCCUAGAGUCGCACUUUUUGUUGAUUAAUCUUUCUAUCCCAUAAUGAUUACCCCUCUGUGUUUUAUUGUAUUGUUAGGAAAUUUAAAAGGUUUUAUUGCCGGUGUAUAUUUUUCUGUAUGUCAUAUAUUAUGCGAGUUAUUUCUAACGCAUCUUGAUCUUAUUUUAGAAUCAUCUGACUGAAGUCAUGGUCUUUUGAGCUUAUAGUUAACUAAACCAUCUUUUAUAUCAGAUAUCAAAUUAUCUACACUUGUAAUAAGAUAUAAUGUAUCAAACUAGGAUUUCACUCCUUUAAUAGAGCUUCUUUGGUGAUACGAAACCAACCAUUCAUCUAUUUGUUUCAUUGCAUCUUUUGAAUUGAAUGUUACUAGGUACAUGCUAACAACAAUCCUCUUGGUUUAAAUUUGUCAUUUACCAAGGCUCCUCUUGGUUCUACUCUAUGAAUUGUAUUGAUAAUUUUGUAAUUGACAUGCUGAUUGGUUUAGUUAUUCAGGUAGACGUCCAGUGGUUAAGACUCUGUGCAGUCAACCAUGGCUUUGCGAGAGGACCAAGACAAGAGGUAAACACAAUGGCAUAGCGUAGUAGUAUGUAGCAGUUCUUUCAUUAUAACGGCUUGUAGUUAUCAUCGGGUUUUAGUAUCAGUAUUUCUCAGAAAACAGUAUGUAUACAUCAUAUCUAAAUUUCAUCUUUCCUUUGUUUGGAUCGGCUACUGUCAAACGUAAAACUAAACAGAACCAGGUCAUGUGAUUAGAAAUACAAUUGCUCAGGUUUCCUUUGACGACAUAGGUAGUUUGGUAGGUUAGUAAAACUAAGUGAACGAUGUAAUAGUCUAUAAGAUGUAUCAGUUUGUCGUGUGAUCCUUUUGCAUAUGUUUAUGGAUGGAUACUCGACGCGCUCGGUUCAUACCGUUGCUGAUACUUACCUUCUCUUGCUGAUUUCCCCAAAUCAUGCACAUAGCUAUUUUAGUAUGGGUUAGGCAAUCUCCCUUUGUAAAAAAGUAUAUAUGUAUGGCACCCUUUGUGUGAGUGAAAUAUCCAUCAGCAUUGUACUGGACCAUAUGCUCUUUGUACUAAAUUUAAUGUUUUCCACUGAACCAUAUUUAAAUUUGUAAUGGAUUUUGGUUCUUUGUAGUACCAGACUAAUGCUUCGCUGAGAAACAACAGACGCUGGAUCAUUGACUUAGACAGUCACCAUGCACCAAGUCGGUUCCUACCGGGUUACAAGUGUUGUCUUCCUCACGUGUCUUUGAGAAAUCCUAAUGUUGGAUUAGUGGUCUCAGUGUUCCCUUUUGUAUCUGUUUGCCGCCUCUAUACCUCUAUCUCUUUUUGUACCACUUUCAUUGCAGUUAUGGAUAUAACAUUUGAUCGCUUAAUGGCUAAUAAAGUUGUCGGACAUAAGGUUGGACUGAUUUGAGUUGUUUUAAUCUGAUGAAAAUGCCCAUUGGAUUGUUGAAUUCUGAUGUUGUUCUUACAU
rnacentral:lncRNA from 1 species